UACGAAGGGGGCUAGCGUUGCUCGGAAUCACUGGGCGUAAAGCGCACGUAGGCGGACUCUUAAGUCGGUGGUGAAAUCCUGGAGCGCUCAACUCCAGAACUGCCUUCGAUACUGGAAGUCUUGAGUCGGGAGAGGUGAGUGGAACUGCGAGUGUAGAGGUGAAAUUCGUAGAUAUUCGCAAGAACACCAGUGGCGAAGGCGGCUCACUGG
rnacentral:rRNA from 1 species